rnacentral:lncRNA from 1 species
UAACUUUUUUCUGGAAAGUAACUGUCCUCCUCUUCCCCUAGGUGCAGCGAGCGAGCUCUGCUCUGAGAUAGGGUCCUAUCCUCAGACAUGGAUGCUUAUGGAAUCCUUCCUGCAUGGGGGAUUGGGACUUCUCUGGGACCUGAAGAGCCAAUAAAUACCCCUCUUCUGGAUGGACAUUUGUCCUCACCAAGAACACAGCUCAUCCGGGCUCUCUGGAGGGCCAGGAUAGUGUUUAUAACGAUGAUGACAAUUUCUGUUUUAUGCAAAGAACAAUUCUUUUAGCCUAAGCUGCUCAAGAAGUUUGCCAUCAUUUCUAUCAGCCCCAGAUCUCACAUAGAAUAGCAACAUCGCAUCUGGCAGAGCACCACGUGACAGGGACAAAUAACUCACUUGCCUAUCUCUGGGCCAGGGCUGGCCCACAGUUUCCCUGGCACUGGGCUGCAAUCACAGUCUGUCUCAUCACAUUACCUUGGAGGAGGUGCAGGAAGCCCAGGCAAGGUCGGGAGAGAGAUGGAGAAAGUUGAAAGAUUUAGUAUUCUCACACUUGCCUGGGAGAACACAGCACAGCAUGCAGGGCCACAGUGGCACAGUGUGCAGGGCCACAGUGGCACAGCGUGCAGGACCACAGGGCCACCCUCGGGGUGGGUCAGGAGCCAGAGGGAGAGUGGGACAGUGGCAGGAGCCAUUAGGGUGGUUUCCAUGGGAAGGAAAAGCAAGGCAGGGUGUGCAGGCUCGGGACCGGCUAGCUGUGUUUGCAAGUGGCACCCCUGCGAAAUUCACCUUUACUGUGACUGUUAGAGUGUAGAGUUUAAAGUUAUCAGACUGCUAGCAAUCACCCUUUGAGCAAGUGUAACUGAGGGAUAGCAUAAAGAUUUGGAAAUGGAAAACAGAGAAAUCCUCAAAGUGGAACAAGCUCUCAGAAUGAGGCUGGGGCUCCCUAAAGCAAGCACCACCUCCUCAAACACCCUGUCUAGGAGCGGUCCCAGUUGACCCAGCUUAUCAGGAAGGGCUCCAGAUGCAGCUUCCCUGUGAAGUAUCUCUGGUCUCAAAGCAGGGUCCCUUUUUGCUGUCCUCGCAUUACACACUGGGCCCUGAUAUUGCCUUCGUCAUGAUCUGCCCAACAUGGGAAGCACAUUCAUUCAAGAAACAUUUGCUGAGUGCCAGGCACUGUGCUGGGGGCCAAGAACUGAGAGACAGGGAGGAAGGUAGCCCUGGCCUCAAGGCAGUCUCAGGCUAACUGAAGAGACAGACCUGCCAACCAGGCAGUACCAACCCGAUGGCUGUACCAACCUGAUGACUGGCAGCUGGCCCUGCCUCCCCAUUAAGGCCUCCAGAAAGCACCCUGGACCCACAAAGUGAGGCACCAUCAGCUCUGCCUAAGGGAUGCUGGCAGUUCCGUGGGGAGAGAGAAGGUGGCCUAGAGCUGAAAGACAGUCCACAGAUGCAAGAAGGGGCAAGGGCAGCUGGCAGAGGGAACAGCACGUGCAAAGACACGGAGGCAUGAGAGCACUUAGUUUUGCUCAGCUGGAGCACACGGCAUAUGGAGUCAGGGCCAGAAGGACACCAAAGGCGGUCAGGUUAGGUGGUAAACAGCCUGAGGGCCCACCAAAGAGCUUGGAUCUGUUCUUCUAAAAAUACCCUUCCUGGCCCUUGUGCAAUCUUGCCAUUGUUUCAGAAGCCUUGCGAACAAUGUGUGAAGGGCUCUGCAAUCCUCCAGGGAGUUACGGAGUCCUGGGAAGGAGCCUGGGGCUGGAUAUUGACUCCUGACCUCGAGGAAUUUAUAAUCUAGGUGAGAGCAAGACUAAGUAUGUGAAAUAUUAGCGGCCAUCCCGGGAGAAAAAUGAAAUGUCAGGCAGUGUAGCCAGGAUAGUUAAGUGCGGUGAGAGUUGGUGAAGGGAUGGGAUUAGGGUGCUUCCAUGUGCAGAUUAAUAAAUCAGAAAAAGUUGUUGCUUCCUGCUUCUAAACUGGGCAAAGCCCUCACCACUGGCUUCUCUGUGAGACCCUGUAGUUUUUUUCUUAGGGGAUUUUCCAAGCACAGCCUCAUCAGCUCUCUUCAGCGUGGAGGCUAUUUUUUUCCUUUUGGCCAGUACCUAUUAACUUACCCUUCUCCCAGAUGAAUUUAGGUAUCCUGAGCUCCAGUUUAUAGGUGAGACCAUCGAGUCUCAGAAAGGUUAACUAACCUGCCCCAGUUAACACUGCUGGGAGGUGGCUGAGCCAAUAAUGAAAUCCAGGUCUUUGGGUUCUAAGUCCAGUGCCUGCCAUAAAAGGAAUUUCUCCAGCCUGUUUCAGAGGCAGUGGCUGCCGUGCAAAUGCAAUCUGUUUUCACCUCCAACACGUCACAUCUCUGGGCAGAGAUUUUGUUCCCACCUUUGUCG